rnacentral:tRNA from 1 species
GGCAUUUUAGCUCAAUGGCUGAGCAGUUGUAUAUGGAACGAAAGGGUGCCGGUUCGAGUCCGGCAAAUGCUACCA